rnacentral:snoRNA from 1 species
AGACCAUGAUGAGGACACUAUAGGAGAAGGUCUUUGAAACGUUCCAUGCAUCGAGAAAAUAAUUCAUUGGGUCAUUGGCAAAACUGGAGAAUGUCGUUCCUAAGCUU